rnacentral:lncRNA from 1 species
GAACAUGAAUAGGCACAAGAAUGAAACCAGAGCCCUAGCUCUCAGUAUGUACAAAAAUAAUCUCAAAGUGGGACAAAGACCUACACGUAAGAGCCCAAACCAUGAAGCUCGUUGAAGAAAACACAGAGGAAAUUUUCAGGAUGUUAGCAAGGGGGAUGGACAGCAAGGACGUUUGUUAGUGACUCCAAAUCACAGCUAACCCUAGCCCUCGAUUGACCAAAGAAUCACAACUCCCUGUGAAAGCUUCCAGUGAGAAGAGCAACUGACCACAGAGUAGAUGGUCAAGCUACAGAAUGGAGCAAGCUGUGAAGGCUCCCGGCAAGGGUUCUAAACAUCCCGAAUAAGAAUGCGGAACUCAACCGUCUUGGCAGUGAAAGCUGAUCUGAUGCGUGAAUGUACAACCCACGGGAGCACACCUUUCUCUACUCCAUGGAUGUCACCACUAAUCACCUGGAAGACCAACCAAAACCACAAUGAACUGUUACCUCAUUUCCCCACGGAUGGUGGCAAAGGGUAGGAGUGCUGGUGAUGGGGAAGAACGGAAGGGGAACUGUCACACACUGUCCUUGGCAGGCAGAUUUGAAUGCUAUGACACAGAAAGUGGUGUU